UGGGCGUAAGGGCUCGCAGGCGGUUUCUUAAGUCUGAUGUGAAAGCCCCCGGCUCAACCGGGGAGGGUCAUUGGAAACUGGGAAACUUGAGUGCAGAAGAGGAGAGUGGAAUUCCACGUGUAGCGGUGAAAUGCGUAGAGAUGUGGAGGAACACCAGUGGCGAAGGCGACUCUCUGGUCUGUAACUGACGCUGAGGAGCGAAAGCGUGGGGAGCGAACAGGAUUAGAUACCCUGGUAGUCCACGCCGUAAACGAUGAGUGCUAAGUGUUAGGGGGUUUCCGCCCCUUAGUGCUGCAGCUAACGCAUUAAGCACUCCGCCUGGGGAGUACGGUCGCAAGACUGAAACUCAAAGGAAUUGACGGGGGCCCGCACAAGCGGUGGAGCAUGUGGUUUAAUUCGAAGCAACGCGAAGAACCUUACCAGGUCUUGACAUCCUCUGACAACCCUAGAGAUAGGGCUUUCCCUUCGGGGACAGAGUGACAGGUGGUGCAUGGUUGUCGUCAGCUCGUGUCGUGAGAUGUUGGGUUAAGUCCCGCAACGAGCGCAACCCUUGAUCUUAGUUGCCAGCAUUCAGUUGGGCACUCUAAGGUGACUGCCGGUGACAAACCGGAGGAAGGUGGGGAUGACGUCAAAUCAUCAUGCCCCUUAUGACCUGGGCUACACACGUGCUACAAUGGACAGAACAAAGGGCUGCAAGACCGCAAGGUUUAGCCAAUCCCAUAAAUCUGUUCUCAGUUCGGAUCGCAGUCUGCAACUCGACUGCGUGAAGCUGGAAUCGCUAGUAAUCGCGGAUUCAGCCCCAUGCGCAUUCGG
rnacentral:rRNA from 1 species